rnacentral:rRNA from 1 species
GAUGAACGCUGGCGGCGUGCUUAACACAUGCAAGUCGAACGGAAAGGCUCCUGCUUGCAGGGGUACUCGAGUGGCGAACGGGUGAGUAACACGUGGGUGAUCUGCCCAGCACUUCGGGAUAAGCCUGGGAAACUGGGUCUAAUACCGGAUAGGACGAUGGUUUGGAUGCCAUUGUGGAAAGUUUUUUCGGUGUGGGAUGAGCUCGCGGCCUAUCAGCUUGUUGGUGGGGUAAUGGCCUACCAAGGCGUCGACGGGUAGCCGGCCUGAGAGGGUGUACGGCCACAUUGGGACUGAGAGACGGCCCAGACUCCUACGGGGGGCAGCAGUGGGGAAUAUUGCACAAUGGGCGCAAGCCUGAUGCAGCGACGCCGCGUGGGGGAUGACGGCCUUCGGGUUGUAAACUCCUUUCGCUAGGGACGAAGCGCAAGUGACGGUACCUGGAGAAGAAGCACCGGCUAACUACGUG